rnacentral:rRNA from 1 species
GAUGAACGCUGGCGGCGUGCCUAAUACAUGCAAGUCGAGCGAACGGACGAGAAGCUUGCUUCUCUGAUGUUAGCGGCGGACGGGUGAGUAACACGUGGAUAACCUACCUAUAAGACUGGGAUAACUUCGGGAAACCGUAGCUAAUACCGGAUAAUAUUUUGAACCGCAUGGUUCAAAAGUGAAAGACGGUCUUGCUGUCACUUAUAGAUGGAUCCGCGCUGCAUUAGCUAGUUGGUAAGGUAACGGCUUACCAAGGCAACGAUGCAUAGCCGACCUGAGAGGGGGAUCGGCCACACUGGAACUGAGACACGGUCCAGACUCCUACGGGAGGCAGCAGUAGGGAAUCUUCCGCAAUGGGCGAAAGCCUGACGGAGCAACGCCGCGUGAGUGAUGAAGGUCUUCGGAUCGUAAAACUCUGUUAUUGGGGAAGAACAUAUGUGUAAGUAACUGUGCACAUCUUGACGGUACCUAAUCAGAAAGCCACGGCUAACUACGUG